rnacentral:rRNA from 1 species
GGAAUAUUGGACAAUGGGCGAAAGCCUGAUCCAGCGACGCCGCGUGGGUGAAGAAGGCCUGCGGGUUGUAAAGCCCUUUCAGUGGGGAAGAAAAGCCUCGAGCUAAUAUCUCGGGGUCUUGACGUAACCCAUAGAAGAAGAACCGGCUAACUCUGUGCCAGCAGCCGCGGUAAUACAGAGGGUGCGAGCGUUAAUCGGAAUUACUGGGCGUAAUGCGCGCGUAGGCGGCUUUGCAAGCCGGAUGUGAAAUCCCCGGGCUUAACCUGGGAACUGCAUUCGGGACUGCAUUGCUAGAGUAUGGGAGAGGGAAGUGGAAUUUCAGGUGUAGCGGUGAAAUGCGUAGAUAUCUGAAGGAACAUCAGUGGCGAAAGCGACUUCCUGGACCAAUACUGACGCUCAUGUGCGAAAGCGUGGGGAGCAAAC